rnacentral:rRNA from 1 species
AUGCAUAGAUAUCACGAGGAACUCCGAUUGCGCAGGCAGCUUACUAAGCUACAACUGACGCUCAUGCACGAAGGCGUGGGGAUCAAACAGGAUUAGAUACCCUGGUAGUCCACGCAGUAAACGAUGAUUACUUGCUGUUUGCGAUAUACGGCAAGCGGCUUAGCGAAAGCGUUAAGUAAUCCAUCUGGGGAGUACGUUCGCAAGAAUGAAACUCAAAGGAAUUGACGGGGGCCCGCACAAGCGGAGGAACAUGUGGUUUAAUUCGAUGAUACGCGAGGAACCUUACCCGGGCUUGAAAUGCAUCUGACGUGGGCAGAGACGCCCAUUCCCCUCGGGGCAGAUGUGUAGGUGCUGCAUGGUUGUCGUCAGCUCGUGCCGUGAGGUGUCGGCUUAAGUGCCAUAACGAGCGCAACCCUCAUCAUUAGUUACCAUCAGGUGAAGCUGGGGACUCUAAUGAGACUGCCAUCGUAAGAUGCGAGGAAGGUGGGGAUGACGUCAAAUCAGCACGGCCCUUACGUCCGGGGCGACACACGUGUUACAAUGGGUGGUACAAAGGGCAGCUACAUGGCGACAUGAUGCUAAUCUCCAAAACCGCUCUCAGUUCGGAUCGGAGUCUGCAACUCGACUCCGUGAAGCUGGAUUCGCUAGUAAUCGCGCAUCAGCCACGGCGCGGUGAAUACGUUCCCGGGCCUUGUACACACCGCCCGUCAAGCCAUGGAAGCCGGGGGUACCUGAAGUCCGUAACCGUCAAGGAGCGGCCUAGGGUAAAACUGGUGACUGGGGCUAAGUCGUAACAAGGUAACCA